AGUAAGAUAGGCUAAGCUAAGCUAAUGAGCUCAUGACUCAUAUAUGAAUUAAUUUCUCUUACUA
rnacentral:tRNA from 1 species